rnacentral:misc_RNA from 1 species
CAAGAUAAAUGGUUUAUCUCUGAUUCAGGUUCAAACUGGGUUAGGCAGACCGAGCAGUCGUGUUCGAGCCAUUUGCAGCUAUGAACUUUGUCGAACAGAAUUGCUGGAAUUCGGCUGUGGAACUCUUCAAUGUAACUUCCAUUUGGGUUAAGAUGGAAUUCUAUGGAUUCAGGAGCAUUCUCCAUGGAAUCUGGUGAAGAUGGUAAUGUAGGCGACGACGAGAGAUGGAUGCCAACAACAUGGAGAAUUGACCGAACUAUCCCUUUGAAGAUAGAAAUUGAUAAGGCUGUAUUUACAAGGAUGACACCCAGUACUCCUUCAGAAGGGGCAGGAAGGCUGG